UACGUAGGGUGCAAGCGUUGUCCGGAAUUAUUGGGCGUAAAGGGCUCGUAGGCGGUUUGUCGCGUCGGGAGUGAAAACAUCUGGCUUAACUGGGUGCUUGCUUUCGAUACGGGCAGACUGGAGGUAUGCAGGGGAGAACGGAAUUCCUGGUGUAGCGGUGAAAUGCGCAGAUAUCAGGAGGAACACCGGUGGCGAAGGCGGUUCUCUGGGCAUUACCUGACGCUGAGGAGCGAAAGUGUGGGGGAGCGAACAGG
rnacentral:rRNA from 1 species